rnacentral:rRNA from 1 species
AACGCGAAGAACCUUACCAAGGCUUAAAUGCAGACUGACCGGUUUGGAAACAGACCUUGCAAGACAGUACAAGGUGCUGCAUGGUUGGAGCGUGCCGUGAGGUGAGGUUAAGCUAUAACGAGCGCAACCCCUGUUGUUAGUUGCCAGCGAGAGGGGGAACUAACAAGACUGCCAGUGCAAACUGUGAGGGAGGUGGGGAUGACGAAAAACGGCCCUUACGCCUUGGGCUACACACGUGCUACAAUGGCCGGUACAGAGAGCAGCCACUGGGCGACCAGGAGCGAAUAUAAAGCCGGACAGUGGAGGAGUGCAACGACCGUGAAGCUGGAAGCUAGUAAGGAUAAGCCAUGACGGUGAAUACGUCCGGGUUGUACACACCG